rnacentral:rRNA from 1 species
UACGGAGGGAGCUAGCGUUGUUCGGAAUUACUGGGCGUAAAGCGCACGUAGGCGGAUAGUUAAGUUAGAGGUGAAAGCCCAGGGCUCAACCCUGGAACUGCCUUUAAUACUGGCUGUCUAGAGAUCGAGAGAGGUGAGUGGAAUUCCGAGUGUAGAGGUGAAAUUCGUAGAUAUUCGGAGGAACACCAGUGGCGAAGGCGGCUCACUGGCUCGAUACUGACGCUGAGGUGCGAAAGCGUGGGGAGCAAACAGG